rnacentral:rRNA from 1 species
GACGUAGGGCGCGAGCGUUGUCCGGAUUUAUUGGGCGUAAAGAGCUCGUAGGCGGCUUGUCGCGUCGACUGUGAAAACCCGUGGCUCAACCAUGUGGUCUGCAGUCGAUACGGGCAGGCUAGAAUUCGGUAGGGGAGACUGGAAUUCCUGGUGUAGCGGUGAAAUGCGCAGAUAUCAGGAGGAACACCGGUGGCGAAGGCGGCCCCCUGGUUGGAUACUGACGCUGAUACGCGAAAGCGUGGGGAGCAAACAGG